rnacentral:rRNA from 1 species
AUUGAACGCUAGCGGGAUGCUUUACACAUGCAAGUCGAACGAGUCGCGGACGUGUGAGUAAUAUAUCGGAACGUGCCCAGUAGCGGGGGAUAACUCCUCGAAAGAGUUGCUAAUACCGCAUACUAAUGGAACCGCCGCUAUCGGAUUAGCUAGGUGGUGGGGUAAAGGUUCACCAAGGCAACGAACCGGAGCUGGUUUGAGAGGGCGACCAGCCACACUGGGACUGAGACACGGCCCAGACUCCUACGGGAGGCAGCAGUGGGGAAUUUUGGACAAUGGGGGAAACCCUGAUCCAGCCAUCCCGCGUGUAUGAGAAGGCCGUCGGGUGGUAAAGUACUUUUGGCAGAGAAGCGGUAUCUGCAGAAUAAGCACCGGCUAACUACGUGCCAGCAGCCGCGGUAAUUC